AAAAAAGUGAUACUUCUAAGCCGAAUUUCGAACAUCGGUCAAUUCCAAACGAAAGAGCAUACUUUUUUUUUUAUAAUGGCAUAUUCUUUAGAGAUUUUUUCUAAAUAGUUAAAAUUUUAUGAAGAAUAUAGACAAAAUUUUAGUAUCGUUCGUUAUCGAAUUUUCACGGUUUUUGCAAAACUAAAUUGAAAAAAAAUGAUACUUCUAAGCCGAAUUUCGAACAUCGGUCAAUUCCAAACGAAAGAGCAUACUUUUUUCUAUAUAAUGGCAUAUUCUUUAGAGAUUUUUUCUAAAUAGUUAAAAUUUUAUGAGGAAUAUAGACAAAAUUUUAGUAUCGUUCGUUAGCGAAUUUUUACGGUUUUUUCAAUACUAAAUUGUAAAAAAAAUGAUACUUCUAAGCCGAAUUUCGAACAUCGGUCAAUUCCAAACGAAAGAGCAUACUUU